CCCCACGCCCUGGGGGCUACCCGGUCCUCCACUGCCCAGGUCCUCCACUGUAGGGUGAGCUCCCCCUCCACGCCCUGGGGGCUGCCUGAGUCCUCUACUGCCCAGGUCCUCCACAGCCAGGGUGAGCCCUGCCCCCACGCCCUGGGGGCUGCCCGGGUCCUCCACUGCCCAGGUCCUCCACUGCCCAGGUCCUCCACAGCCAGGGUGAGCCCUGCCCCCACGCCCUGGGGGCUGCCCAGGUCCUCCACUGUAGGGUGAGCUCCCCCUCCAUGCCCUGGGGGCUGCCUGAGUCCUCUACUGCCCAGGUCCUCCACAGCCAGGGUGAGCUCCCUCCCCCCACACCCUGGGGGCUGCCUGGGUCCUCCACUGCAGGGUGAUCCCUGACCCCCACGCCUGGGGGCUGCCUGGUGUCGGCAGCUGGAGGAAGGGAUUCGGAGGUCGGUGCUGGUCUCGUGGGCAGGAGCUCCAAGUGGCUCUGCGAUCAGGGUUUCCCACUGUCCCUGGAAACCAGAAGGGUGGCUGGGGGAGUCCCGAGGCUGCAGUUUGGCUUUGGAAGUGAGGGCCGAGGCUCCUGGGGCUUAUGGAGGGACCUGGCGGCCUGAGUCCUUUGGUUUUCACCUGUGUCUGCUCCUCACGGAGAGCCGGCUGUUACCGAGAGAAAGGCACUUUGGGGGUGUGGUGCGUGGGGCUGUCUGCCCUCAGUUACGCUGAUCCGUGGACGCUGUUGCAGAGGCGUGGGCUGUGCGGCCCCGCAGGGCAGCUGGUGCCAGCUGUGGGGUCCGCGCCCGGCAGCCUCAGUGGCGCUGGUGUCCACCAGCAGCAGCCUGGGCGCAGGUGCCUGUGGGCAUCGCCCCUGGGUGCUGCUGGCCGCCGGUGCUACCUCCUCCUGGGGUGGUUCCUCUGAAUUCCCGGUUCCUCAGCUGCCAGGGGCUUGUUUUUAGCCUCUGCCUGUGCCGCCCCUGAUUCCUCAGAAUUGACUGGUGUCGAAAGGGGCUGGAAGGGCAGCGUGGGGGACUUGCCUGUCCCACGAAAAACAUUUGCUGUAGGAGCACAGCGCUCCCCCAGACGCCCUGAUGGAGGGAGCGAGGAGGGGUCCCUGGGGAGGGGUAGCAGCCGGUGGGGUGGGGCUGCUGUCCCCUGCUUUGCAUGCCCCGCACCUGCCCUCCUAGGCCCCUCCCAACAUCCGGGAAAUGCUGACUGUUCAACAGGGAAGUGUUUUCCACACUCAGAUGAGCAGAGCUGCACGAGGAACCACGGGGUCCUGCGCUCCCGUCCCGUGGAGCACAUGGGGUUGCAGGCAGCUGGGCUGCUGCAGAGGACGGGGGGGCUGCUGCACUCGGAGAGGUGUCCUCGGGGCUCCAGGGGUCACUCGCUUCCCUCUGGCCUUGUCCCCUUUCUCACGUCCAGCUUGGUCGCGUUCCUGGGAGCAUUUGCCAGACACUGGAGCUGUUUCGUGUGUUCUGUUGAAUCAGGGAGCCGCCGGCCAUGUCUGUGCUUCCCUGUGAGAGGCAGAGGCCGUGGGAGAGAGCCCCUUCACAACACAGCGCUCGUCGGCUUCCCCGAGCUGUGGCCUCGGGCUCAGCCCGGGGAGCCCGCCAGCGCCUGCUGCUGCCGCUCACUGCACCUGAGCUCGGCUGACCGGGCCGCAGCACCCGGCACAGCACAGGGCUGCCGCUGUGUGCCACAGGCCCCUGGGCUGCUGGUCGGAGGCAGCGCCCCCAGCCCGCCUUCCCUCUCGCCGCUCACCCCAGGUGCUGCCGAAGUCAGGCGCGUGGACGGCCGCCUCCCCCGGCAGCCCUGGGCUCUCUGUGUGUCGGGAGCACGGCGAGUCUUUCCCACGGUGCUUUGCCUGUGGCUCCCACUGUGCUGGUGUCACGGAAACCUACUUGGAAACACUUAAAAAUGUGCAGGGGAGAUAAGCCCCCUUUUAGCCUGAGAUUGCUGACGUGGACGUUAACAGAAGUUCAUCGUCGUCCUCGCCGUGGGGGUGAAACUGCUGACCUUGGCCGAAAUCUGCCUGCUCUGCAGAAUGCGUGCCAGGAACUGUUCGGGCAGGGGCGGGCCGGGGUUGUGCUGUGCCCCCUUCUCCUGUUUGGUACCAGGCGCGUGGGGGGUGGUCCUGGAUGCUGAUUGGCCAGAAACGGACAAGGGUUCUUUGGGGGUUUCAUGCCCAUGACACCCUUUGUUUCUGAGUCUACAUUAUGCAGUCAGUGGCUCUGUGACUCGUGUUAAGGUCAGACCAGGACUGUUGGGGUUUAGCAGGGCCUUGCUUGCCCUGAGAGACCCCUGCCCCUGAGCCUUCCCACAACCUGAGAACCAAGAGUCACUUUGUGGAAAAAUCCGUGCAGCUCAGCUGUGAGGUCUGGCUGAAGCAGGGCCACCCGCUUUGUGUGUGGACGCCCCCGGCCGCUUCCACCAGCUGCCGUCUGGCAGGACCGUGGCCUGUGUGGCCCCCGGCCGCUUCCAGCAGCUGCCGUCUGGCAGAACCGUGGCCUGUGUGGCCUUAGCUGCCGCCCUCGGGCUCUUCCGCACAGACCUCAGCGAUCAGAGUCCACUGGGAGAUGGCUUUGGAGACGCUGCUGCCUCCCGGGUGUUUUGGGAGGUCUGAGAAGCAUCGGCACGGUUCUCCUUUAAGCGCUUGGUCCUCUGGCUGGGCUCCUCUGUGUCCGUCUCCUCGCUCCACGCGGGUCUGCUCAGGCUCUCUGGGAUGCAGUCUGGGCAGGGAUUUAGCCGUCUCGUCUUGCUCAUCCGGCUUGUGUUUCUGGUGGUCCUCCUCCGUCCCCUGUGUCUCUGUGGCAUCACCUGGGCUCUCCUUCACUUCUGAUUUUAUUUGUUCGAGUCUUCUCUCUUCUUGGCUAGUUUAGCUAAGGUUUGUUGAUUUUGUUUAUCUUUAAGCAUUUAAAUAAAAAUUCUUUAUUUUAAAGGCAGAAAGACAGAGCUGUGUCUUGCCUGCUGGUUUACUCCCCAGAUGUCCACCACAGCUCAAGCUGGCCCAGGCCAAAGCCAGGAGCUGAGAAUCCGAGUCCCCUGGUACUGGAGCCAUGACCUCCUGCCUUCCAGGGUGUGCAUGAACAGGACAGGGAGCUGGAGUCAGCGGCUGAGCCGGGAUCUGAACCCAGGCACCUGGUGUGGCACGUGGCUGUCCCAUGCCAGGCCAGAUGCCCACCCCUUGUUUAAUCUUUUCCUAAACAAGUCUUCAUUGUGUUGAUAUUUUCUAGUCUCUGCUCUGUUUAUUUCUGCUCUGAUCCUUGUUACUUGUUUCUUUAGGCUAACUUCGGUGCUAGGUUAUUCUUUUUUUUUUAGUUGCUCAAGGUAUAAUGUAAGUUGUUUGAGGUUCUUUUUUUUU